rnacentral:rRNA from 1 species
UACAGAGGGGGCAAGCGUUAUUCGGAAUUAUUGGGCGUAAAGGGCGCGUAGGCGGCUUGGCAAGUGGAUGGUGAAAUCCCUCGGCUUAACCGAGGAACUGCCGUCCAAACUGCUUAGCUUGAGACCGGGAGAGGUGAGUGGAAUUCCCAGUGUAGCGGUGAAAUGCGUAGAUAUUGGGAGGAACACCAGUGGCGAAGGCGGCUCACUGGACCGGUACUGACGCUGAGGCGCGAAAGCGUGGGGAGCAAACGGG